rnacentral:rRNA from 1 species
UACGUAGGCAGCGAGCGUUGUUCGGAGUUACUGGGCGUAAAGGGUGUGUAGGCGGUUGCUUAAGUUUGGUGUGAAAUCUCCCGGCUCAACUGGGAGGGUGCGCCGAAUACUGAGUGACUCGAGUGCGGGAGAGGAGAGUGGAAUUCCUGGUGUAGCGGUGAAAUGCGUAGAUAUCAGGAGGAACACCGGUGGUGUAAACGGCUUUCUGGACCAUAACUGACGCUGAUGCACGAAAGCGUGGGUAGCAAACAGG